rnacentral:rRNA from 1 species
GGACGAACGCUGGCGGCGUGCUUAACACAUGCAAGUCGAGCGGUAAGGCCCYUUCGGGGGUACACGAGCGGCGAACGGGUGAGUAACACGUGGGUGAUCUGCCCUGCACUUCGGGAUAAGCCUGGGAAACUGGGUCUAAUACCGGAUAUGACCAAAGGCUGCAUGGCUUUUGGUGGAAAGGUUUACUGGUGCAGGAUGGGCCCGCGGCCUAUCAGCUUGUUGGUGGGGUAAUGGCCUACCAAGGCGACGACGGGUAGCCGACCUGAGAGGGUGACCGGCCACACUGGGACUGAGACACGGCCCAGACUCCUACGGGAGGCAGCAGUGGGGAAUAUUGCACAAUGGGCGAAAGCCUGAUGCAGCGACGCCGCGUGAGGGAUGACGGCCUUCGGGUUGUAAACCUCUUUCAGCAGGGACGAAGCGAAAGUGACGGUACCUGCAGAAGAAGCACCGGCCAACUACGU